UGGAACGGAGUUUCCCCUGCUGGAUGUCGCACGUGGUGGCAAGAGUGGUCACAGAACGGCAGAGGCCGGGUCUGUGGAACCUUGCACCAAAGGAAAUGGGCCCGACACGGGUUAGGGGAUUGAUGGGGAAGGCCGACACAGGAAGCGACCUCCGGGUGCGCGGAUGUCGUGAGGUUAGGUUCACCAUGCAUGGUUAAAGAACUCGAAUCGAUUCGUCUGCCUCUCACAGUUUG
rnacentral:lncRNA from 1 species